rnacentral:rRNA from 1 species
GGACUACCGGGGUAUCUAAUCCUGUUUGCUCCCCACGCUGUCGCGCCUCAGUGUCGGUUGAAGGGACCUUCCGAUCCCACUGCCCAGCAGACCGCCUUCGCCACUGGUGUUCUUCCGGAUCUCUACGCAUUCCACCGCUACACCCGGAAUUCCAUCUGCCUCUACAGUACCCGAGCCCCACAGUCGCCGCGGCCGAUCCGGGGUUGAGCCCCGAACUUUCACCGCGGCCUUAUGGUGGCCACCUACGCGCCCUUUACGCCCAGUGAUUCCGGACAACGCUCGCGCCCUCUGUAUUACCGCGGCGGCUGGCAC